rnacentral:lncRNA from 1 species
UGGAAAACACUCCAUGAGCAACAAGAGGAGUAGAGAUGGACUUUUUAAUAAAGUAAACCUGACCGAGUAAAGAUGUCAUGAGCAUACUGCAAGAGAAGCCUUGAUGUAAAAAGAAGUCACUUAGUCACGGAAACCAAGCGCGUGAAGCUUGUAUAAGGCCAUACAACGUUUUCUUUAAACGGCACACAUGAUAUCAGCCUAAUCCUACGCUCCUCUUUUUCUUUUGAUAUGUUCUCACAGGUGAUGGUAUCUGAAUACUAUAAAAGUGCUCUAAUUAUCAUGUGAGUAUAUAAAUCUUCACCAUAAGAAUUAUGUUGAUAGGCACUUUAUAAUGAGAAUUACAAGAGAUAUACAUGAAGAAUAUUGACACAAAAGAUUUACAUAGACAUCUGACCAUGCCCUUCUAUUAUGGAGUAUACAUAUCUACGGGUGUGAAAGUCAAAUGUGAGAACCACACCUCAAGUAUACAAACUCUCAUGGAGCCGGGUCAAGUUUAUACAAUAGGGCCCGGGGAGCUUCAAUGACCCACAAAAACUAGCCUAAAAUUGUAACAAAAAGAUGGUGAAUUUAUGAUACCUUACAAUCCAGGAUAUAUCUACAUUCUUUUACACACAGAUCUCUAAAUUGGAAGGUUGGAAAGAUUAUUUGUCUACAAAACUCUGCAGCUUCUUUUUGGAUGUUAGGUUGUGAACUUGUAUCAAGAACACACAAGUAUUUACUGUUUUAAUCUGCACAAAAUUUUCAUACGGUCAGGUAUUCACCGAGUGAUAGAAAGGAGUUUCAAAGGGCGUUUGGAUGUGCGUUGUGAAAGUGAUUAUGUGACACCGGAUUAUGAAAAUCAGAUAAAUGCCUAUGAAAAUGCUAAUUUAACUUUUCCUUUAUGUGAUGGGUGUUUCUUAGCUAUUGUUAUAAUCAUGUGCACUUAGUAUAACGCUUAAUGGUUUAUAAGAUAUCAUUAUCUACAAAACAUGAUGCUUAAGGAUCAAACAUGUAUAUUACUUACAUUUUGUUUAAGCUGUUCCAGUAAUCAAUUUCUCCCGUUGAUCGAGUUUCUUAACCUUCAACAGGCCAAACAGAACUUGGAACCCAAAAAAUGCACAAAAGGAAUACGCUAUCAUAGCGGGACCCUGAAAGAAGACAUGAAGCAUAAUGAAAUUUAGCAUCAAAGCAGCAACACGUUGAAACGACCUCUCGGAUUCCAAUGCUCGAACUCGUAACUUCAAAUCACCUUGCUCCUAUAAGAAUAUGCGAUACAAAAUUGUAAUUCAGGUAAACUAUGUGAAAAACAAUGAAAAUGAGGGAAACUUGAUACACAUAAAUGAUAUUUACCAAUCGUUCAAUAACUGCAACGAGUUUCUCAAUCCUGUCAGCUUGUCUAAAUAAGUUAUAAAAUGCUUGUGAUUGUCUUUCCCAUCUUUUUUUAAAGUCCUGAAACAAAAUACAAUAUGGUCAAAAGAUGAAAUUAGUUCUUGAAUACACAAAAUGCCAUAUAUUAUGAAAAGUGAUUUAAGAAUUAAGAUUAAACCUUGAUGACAACUUCAAUACCAGCUUCACGAAACCUUAGCAGUUCCAGAGCAUAGCUAGAAAUAAACAAACUAUCAUGUUACUUUUAAGGUUUCAAUAAGUAAAUAGGGCAAAAUGAACACUCACGGCUUAGCAAUUUCUGUGAUAUCAAAACGGGGGUCGAGACCCUUUCCAAUGCCAUCUAACACUGCAAGAUACAAAUAAACACCGUGAGAUGUCUUUAAAUUAUAAUUAUUAUGAUACUAUCAAUACUUGGGUAUCUAAUUUGAGAGUGCAUUUUCAUCUGGUAUUAGAAGACGAUGAUAAUUACAAAAAUCAGAUACUGGUACCUGAAAAAGCUCUAACUACAAAGGUGAAAGUGGCAGGAAAUCGGAAUGGUUGAUCUGCUGAAAUAGCCAAUAAAUCCUCC